UCGAAGCUUACAUUAUCUAACUUAAAAGAGGUUUUGAAGACUUAAAUAUUAAAACAACAAAAUAGAAGAGCCAUAAAAAAAAAAACCUCCAAAGGAUUCAUCUUAAGUUAAAAAAAGUUAACAACAAAACAAAGGGUUAGCAUUCACAAUGACCAAAAUAAUAACGAGAAAACAAACAUAAAUAAUAAAUUAUAAAAUUGAAAUUUCCAGCCCCUACUCGACCAUUUCGGGGCUGAAAUGUCGAUUUGUUACUUCGUCGAUUUUGGUUUUUAACCCCAUUUCAUGCUUCUUGCUUAGCUGCUGCCGGGAUUACUAUAUAAAUUGGACUUGUUAAAGUCCGAGAAAUCAACAAUUUGUGUCCCUUUGGGGACCUGCAGUUGCUGCUUCAGGUUUGGGAGUUUAAACCCAUUUUUUGCUCUUCAGUUUCGGCCUUUUAAGGCUGCUGCUGCUGCUGCAUUUUUUUGGUGUUUAAACCCAAUUUUUGCUCCUCAUUUGAGCUAUUUGGGAGCUGUUGUUGCUUCUUAUUUUUGGGUGUUUUACCCAAUAACGUAACUCCCUGGGUGUUUUACCCAAUAACGUAACUCCCUUUCGCGACUCCGAAGAAAGUUGACUCAAGAAGAGGAAUAAUGCAAGAGAAGGGAGUCCGGAUGGACUCAAAUAAAAUAGUUCAUGUAAAAUUCAAAGAAGAGAGAAAGGAUUAAUAACAAAUAAAUUUAAAGAGAUGCGUAUGAACAACAAGUCUUAACUACAUAUUUGACCUCAUCAAUAGAGAUCAAACAAGAAAGAGAUCACUUGGCCACAUAAAUGUUUCCAUUAAUCGCUACACAACUUCAACUAUAAGAGAUUAACAACAUGGAUCAACUUCAAGCCACAUAAAUUAAUAUUUGUCCAUCAGCCAAGAUUUUUAAAGGGAUACAACUAAAGAAAAUUUGAAAGAAGAAUCUAUCCAUGCUACUAUCAUUAUUCGACUUCCAACAAUACAGACAGACCAAAAAUAAGAACCAAUUUUGGAAAUCAGAGACUGCACUCAGCAACACCAUUGGUGGGCAAAAAUCUAAAAGAACAACAAAUAUUCAUACCCCAAGCCAAUAAAAUAGCAAAUAUAACAUGAGAACUUUGGAACAUCUUGUUUGAGUCAAUUCUCUAAAGUUGGAUUAGAACAUAGAACAAGUGAUCUCAUUGGAAGAGAUAACAAAAUUAGAAAUCAAUCUUAUUAACUUGGUGGGUUCAUAUCACAUAAAGGUCGCCGAUGGAAAGAAGCUAUAUGACAGAAUCCAAAUAUACAAACUUAACAUCAAACUAGUUCAAACACUAAGCGAGGAUAAGUUGACAAACUUCAUGUGAGAGCUAAUUUUGAAGAGAAUGAAAGAGACAAUAAAUCUGGUUUAAUGCACACAAAUAACGGGGAAAAGAAAUUAACCAUAUAUCUUAGCUUAAGCAAAAUAAUCAAACUAAUUCAAAUAUAAGAAACAUGUCAAACAUCGACCAAUACAAGAGAAAGCCACCAGUAAUCCUAACUACAUGGUGCGACAAACAAUUUGAGCAAAGAAACAGCAAGCAAUGGAUAGCAAUUAUGAAUGUCCUAUUCUAAUUCAAAAUAUUUAAGAAGUGGGCAGAAAGGUAUUAAGCAAGAAUUUUGCAGAUUUUCCUAGGACUCAAACUCGUCAAUAAUUUGAACAAAAAUAAUAAUAAAUAAACGAACAAUCUGUAAAGUGUAUGAAAAUAAAGUAAAGAAAAAAAAAAUCUUAAUCGAAGAACUUAAUAAAUAAAAGAUAUGAGCCAACACGAACCAGAUGCUUAAUUUCUACAAGAACAAGUGUAACGACUAAGACCAAGAUAAACAAUGACCUUUAGAACUAAUCUCAGAUAAGAAACACAAACAAGACACCAAAAAUGUUAGGAAAAUUUAUAACAAAAUCAUAACGCUGAGAACAUUACUGGUUGCUUAAGAUGUUAAACCAAAGUAUAACACAGGAAAACUAAAACAAAGCUAAGAACACCAAAUAAAUAGAAAGCAUAAAAGAGUUGGGAAUUAAACAAAACAGAGUUAAGAAAGAAUUUACCUCAUUCCGGGCAGCGAACUGAAACGACGAGUAAAGAAAAUGAUUCCACCACCUUUAUCAACUCGGAAAACCAAAAAACUUAAACUAUCGAAAUAAGAUUUCCCAAACCUUUAUGGGGUACUCUCUCGUUUCAAAAAAAAAUCCUCCUCCUGAACAAUGAAUGAAGAAGGUUUAUAUAGUGCAACUUCUGGGUUAAAAUAUAAAGGGGGAAACAAUGUGGGACAAGCUGAGAUUUCAAAUUUUCUGGAGAAUAAGGUGUGAACUGCAAUUCGUACCAAAUUCUAACGAAUUGGGGCGGAGAGUCGUCCGAUUUCGAGCCAAGGACGAACUCCGAAGGAGAUGGAGACACCUUGAAAAUUUUGAGUACAUUACUCGUACGAGAAGAAAAAGAGAGAGCAUGCCAUUUUGCUGGGUUCGUGUCUGAUGCGAGUUGGAGUUGCGUGAUUUUUUGGUUUUGUCGCGUUGCUUGUGAGUUGUUUUGCUG
rnacentral:lncRNA from 1 species